rnacentral:rRNA from 1 species
UACGUAGGGACCAAGCGUUGUUCGGAUUUACUGGGCGUAAAGGGCGCGUAGGCGGCGUGGUAAGUCACUUGUGAAAUCUCUGAGCUUAACUCAGAACUGCCAAGUGAUACUGCUGUGCUCGAGUGUGGAAGGGGCAAUCGGAAUUCUUGGUGUAGCGGUGAAAUGCGUAGAUAUCAAGAGGAACACCUGAGGUGAAGACGGGUUGCUGGGCCAACACUGACGCUGAGGCGCGAAAGCAUGGGGAGCGAACAGG